AAUAGGUGCUUCUCCUCAGGUGGAGGAUAACCAUCUUUUCAGAUUAAAGUAGAAGCAGAAGUGAACCUAGAGAGUUCAACCCCUUGUUUCAAAGGUUGGGAAAUCAGCUCACCAAGGCCUCUGCAUUUGCCUCAAGUCACACAUCUGAUGAGUGGCAAAUGUUGAUCUCAAGUCCAGGGAUCAAGAUACUGGUCCAGGGUCAUUUCCAUGAUACUCUGUGAGGGAUAGAGGAAGCCUAUGUGCUGGAGGAAGCAUUGGACCUGGGAGUUAGGAACCCUGAGGUUCCACCCCAGCUGGGCCACUAAGCAGCUACAUAACAAUGGGCAACCUGGGUCUUCUCUCUGGGCUCCUGUUUUUUCUUUAUUUUGAAAAUGAAAGUUGGAUAAUAUAGUCCCUCCCAUCUCUAACAUCCCCCAAGUCUUUCAUGGGUGCCACUCAUUCUAUAUUCAGGCAGGCAGAGUUGGCAAGGGGUCCAGAUGUGUUCGGUAGAGAAUGGUUACAUGACAGUGUCUAGCAUACUAAAGGAAAGACCAGUGGCCUCAAGGCUUGUCUAAGGAAUUAAUAAAGAUUGAGAAUUAGGAGGUGCUAUGGCUUGACUGUUUGUGCCCCCUCCAAAAUUCACAUGUUGAAAUUCAGUAACCAAUGUGAUAGUAUUAAGAGGUGAGUCCAUUAGGAGGUGAUUAAGUAAUGAGGGCAGUACCCUCAAGAAUAGUACUAACAACAUUUUAAAAGGGCUGGAGGGAACUAGCUACAUCCAUUUGCUCUUUUGUCCCUUCUGCCAUGUGAGGACACAGUGUUUUUCUCUUCUAGAGGAUGCAGCACUCAAGGCACCACCUUGGGAGCAGAGAUCAGGCCCUCACCAGACACCAAACUUGUUGGUGCCUUGAUCUUUGACUUCCCAGCCUCCAGAACUGUAAGAAACAUAUUUCUAAUUUUGAUUAAUUACCCAAUCUUAGGCAUUUUGUUAUAGCAACCCAAACAGGCUAAGACAGGAGGUUAAAAAAAGAUUUUAAAAGAUAAUAAAUUACAAAAGAAAAUAAAUGAGAUUUGCAAUCUUGUUCACCUUCACUUACGUUAAAAAAGUGAGCUUCCACCUCACUACUCACAUAUUAAUUAAAUGCUGACACAUUUUGCUUGCUUUCUUACAGGUGAAUUCCUGUAACACAAUCUUCACUUAUGUUUUUAUUAACACGUAAAACAUCUUUACCUCCACUGUCUUCUCUUCAUAAAAAGGGUGAUUAUGAAAACAAGAGGCCCUUGGAAUUUCCCGCUGCUUUUUUAUUCUACCAACAAAGGAAAUUUAUCCAUUCUCUUUAGGUAUAAACUUCCUUGCUGUAAUCUUUAAAACUUUUAUUUAUUUCUUCUUCUUCUUAUAGAGAGGAGGUCUUGCUGUGUUGCCCAGGCUGGUCUCAAACUCCUGGCCUCCAAGUGAUCCUCCUGCCUUGGUCUCCUAAAUCACUAGGAUUACAGGUGUGAACCACUGCUCCAGGUUCUCCAUUGCUGUGAUAUUUUAAGCACACUAUUGCUGGCUUGAAAUUACUGUGAUUUUAAACAUGUACUGAAAGCCUUACUCUGUAGCAUCAGAUCCAAGAGCCUAUAUUUCUAGUGACUUUGAUUGACUUGGGCCACUUUUUUUUUUAAUGCUUUUAGAAACCUUUCAUUUCUGUUAUUUUGGUCAGUAUGUCUUAGAAAUCACUCAAGAUGGUGAGUAAAUUCUGAGAUAACUCUCUCGAUCUACCAGACAAUGAUGUUAUAAAAGCAUCCUGCUUGUGAACUAUGGUUCUUUGGCAAAUAAUCCUGAACUAGCUAGGAA
rnacentral:lncRNA from 1 species